CCGAGUUUUCGGGCUUCGGCUCGACUCUCCACCCUUUGUGAACGUACCUCUGUUGCUUUGGCGGCUCCGGCCGCCAAAGGACCUCCAAACUCCAGUCAGUAAACGCAGACGUCUGAUAAACAAGUUAAUAAACUAAAACUUUCAACAACGGAUCUCUUGGUUCUGGCAUCGAUGAAGAACGCAGCGAAAUGCGAUAAGUAAUGUGAAUUGCAGAAUUCAGUGAAUCAUCGAAUCUUUGAACGCACAUUGCGCCCCUUGGUAUUCCGGGGGGCAUGCCUGUUCGAGCGUCAUUACAACCCUCAAGCUCUGCUUGGAAUUGGGCACCGUCCUCACUGCGGACGCGCCUCAAAGACCUCGGCGGUGGCUGUUCAGCCCUCAAGCGUAGUAGAAUACACCUCGCUUUGGAGUGGUUGGCGUCGCCCGCCGGACGAACCUUCUGAACUUUUCUCAAGGUUGACCUCGGAUCAGGUAGGAAUACCCG
rnacentral:rRNA from 1 species